rnacentral:rRNA from 1 species
GACGAACGCUGGCGGCGUGCCUAAUACAUGCAAGUUGAGCGCUGAGGGUUGGUACUUGUACCAACUGGAUGAGCAGCGAACGGGUGAGUAACGCGUGGGGAAUCUGCCUUUGAGCGGGGGACAACAUUUGGAAACGAAUGCUAAUACCGCAUAAAAACUUUAAACACAAGUUUUAAGUUUGAAAGAUGCAAUUGCAUCACUCAAAGAUGAUCCCGCGUUGUAUUAGCUAGUUGGUGAGGUAAAGGCUCACCAAGGCGAUGAUACAUAGCCGACCUGAGAGGGGUGACCGGCCACAGUGGGACGGAGCAACGCCCCAACCCCCAGGGGGGGGAGGAGGUAGGGACCCUUGGGAAAGGGACGAAAGUCGGACCGAGAACCGCCGGGGGAGGGAAGAGGUUUUUCGGAUCAAAAAACUUGGUUGGUAGAGAAAAACGGUGGGGAGAGGGAAAACCCCAUCAAGUGAGGGUAACUACCAAAAAGGGGACGGCUAACUACGUG